AUGGCCACCAGGCUCUUCUGCUGUGUGGCCCUUUGUCUCCUGGGAGUAGAGCAUGCAGAUGCUGGAGUUGCCCAGACACCCAGACACAAGGUGACAAAGAUGGGACAAGCAGUAAGACUGAACUGUGAGCCAAUUUCAGGCCACAAUGACCUUUACUGGUACAGACAGACUUCACUGCAGGAACUGAAGUUCCUGAUUUAUUUCAGUAAUGGAGCUCCAAUAGACAACAGCGGGAUGCCCAAGGACCGAUUCUCAGCUAAGAUGCCUAAUGGAUCAUUCUCCAUUUUGGAGAUCCAGCCCACAGAACCCGGGGACUCAGCCUUGUACCUCUGUGCCAGCAGCUUAGCCACAGGUGAUUCUGUUUUCUUUGGAGAAGGCACCAGGCUCACAGUUGUAGACAACCUGAACAAGGUGAAACCACCCAAGGUCACUGUGUUUGAGCCAUCCGAAGCAGAGAUCUCCCGGACACAGAAGGCCACGCUUGUGUGCCUGGCCACAGGCUUCUACCCCGACCACGUGGAGCUGAGCUGGUGGGUGAAUGGGAAGGAGAUCCAGAGUGGGGUCAGCACAGACCCUCAGCCCUACAAGGAGCAGCGCCACCUCAAUGACUCCAACUACUGUCUGAGCAGCCGGCUGAGGGUCUCUGCCACCUUCUGGCACAAUCCUCGCAACCACUUCCGCUGCCAAGUCCAGUUCUUUGGGCUAGAGGAAGAAGACAAGAAGAAUUGGGAGGACACCCGCCCCAUACCCAUCACCCAGAAUGUCAGUGCUGAGGUCUGGGGCAGAGCAGAUUGUGGCUUCACCUCAAGUUCCUACCAGCAAGGGGUCCUGUCUGCCACCAUCCUCUAUGAGAUCCUUCUGGGGAAGGCCACUGUGUAUGCGGUGCUGGUCAGUGCCUUGGUGCUGAUGGCCAUGGUCAAGAGAAAGAAUUCCUGACACCAGCUCAGAGGUGCAGCCAGGAACUUCCAGCCUGUUAUCUCCCCAAUAUGGAUUCCCUUUUUUCCAUUCCUAGCCAGCGCUUCAGAAGAGCUGUCUCAAUCUCUCAACUCAUCCUGAUAUCCACCCGCUAUAUACUUGCAUAGCUGAACAUUCAUGACUAAAAUCUCCCUAACCCCAGGGGACCCUGGUGUGCCUACAUUGACUGAACCAAUAAAAAUGGCCUGUUCUGGCUUGAUUCUG